GAUGAACGCUAGCGGCAGGCCUAACACAUGCAAGUCGAGGGAGAAGCCCUUUCGGGGGCAGAAACCGGCGCGCGGGUGCGUAACGCGUAUGCAACCUACCUUUCACAGGGGGAUAGCCCGAAGAAAUUUGGAUUAAUACCCCAUAAUAUUGUUGGAUGGCAUCAUUUGGCAAUUAAAACUGAGGUGGUGAAAGAUGGGCAUGCGUCCUAUUAGCUAGUUGGAGUGGUAACGGCACCCCAAGGCUACGAUAGGUAGGGGUCCUGAGAGGGAGAUCCCCCACACUGGUACUGAGACAGGGACCAGACUCCUACGGGAGGCAGCAGUGAGGAAUAUUGGUCAAUGGUCGGAAGACUGAACCAGCCAUGCCGCGUGCAGGAAGAAUGCCUUAUGGGUUGUAAACUGCUUUUAUAUGGGAAGAAUAAGGCGUACGUGUACGUUGAUGACGGUACCAUAUGAAUAAGCAUCGGCUAACUCCGUGCCAGCAGCCGCGGUAAUACGGAGGAUGCGAGCGUUAUUCGGAAUCAUUGGGUUUAAAGGGUCUGUAGGCGGGCUAUUAAGUCAGGGGUGAAAGGUUUCAGCUUAACUGAGAAAUUGCCUUUGAUACUGGUAGUCUUGAAUAUCUGUGAAGUUCUUGGAAUGUGUAGUGUAGCGGUGAAAUGCUUAGAUAUUACACAGAACACCGAUUGCGAAGGCAGGGGACUAACAGACAAUUGACGCUGAGAGACGAAAGCGUGGGGAGCGAACAGG
rnacentral:rRNA from 1 species